GGUGCACAUGAUGACACCGUUAAGCGACCAAAGUCUGACAGAAAUGAUUGCUGCCUCGUUGUCUGAUGCACU
ensembl:snoRNA